AGGCUGAAUGAUGUUCCAUUGUACGUAUAUGCCACAUUUUCUUUAUGUAUUCAUCCGUGGUUGAAAAAAAAAAUUUUUUUAAGCAUCUCUUUCAAUCUUUGCAGAUUGGCUUUGUGCUGGGGCAUUCCUUCAACACCUAACCAGGAUAUUAACAACUCUGUCUUAGCCUUCACUUCUUGAUAACCCUGGACCUAGAGAUCUUCCAAAGGAAAAAGCUUAGGGUCUUCUCAGAUCUUUCCUGAAUGCGUGACCUGCCCUGGGUAUGUGCAUGACAUUUGAAAUCCCCAAUAAACACAAGUAUUUUUUGAAUGUCCUGAUUUCCCAAAGAAACUCUCCCAGAUUUUCCUCCCAGGCUUUAUGUAAUAUAUUGUAUGUCUGAACCACAACUUUUUGUCCCAGGGAGCUGUGGGUUUUUUGGUCAUCUCAGAAUGUUUUUAAGCAAUGCCUGCCACUUUUCUACCUUGAGUGGAUUCAGACUUGGGCAAAACAGACAAAUGCCUCAUUUUAGUCUCUCAGAUCGUUUCUGACCGGUUAGAAUAGACAAACAAAGUCAUUUGUGAAUAAGGUCUGCCUUGCUCCCUCUGGAACCUGGGACCUGGGUCCUAAAUUGGGAAAAUGGACUACUAUCUUCAAGAUCACCAUCAAGCUGAUGAAGGGGUGGGGCAAGGGCAAGUGAAAAUGCCACACCACUUUUCUGUCACUUUGAAGUUGCCCUUUCCUCAUUUCAGGGCUUUCCUGAUUGAUAUAAGUCUUUUACUGUUUUCCAGAGUUCUGGUAAAGUUUCUGCUGCUUUUUCUCCAUGUUUCUGUAGAGGGACAGGAGUUUGGAGCUGUCUACUCUGCCAUUUUCCUGAUGUCACUCCACUUCUGAGUCUUUCCUAUCUUUGUGGAUAGCAGAGAUGUCGAUCUCGGAUAUGAUACCCUGACUGGUGACCAGUUAGAAACAUGGAGCAGCUCUACCUGGAUGGAAUGAACUUUAAGAAGCAGGUGGAUCUGAGCAAUGUACACAUGGGUGGCUUGUGGAUGUUGCUGGCACCCUGCCUAAACAUUCAUCCUCCAAUUGCUUUGAGUUGGAAGCGCACAGUUACCCUUUUCCCCAGAGAACUGACCUUACUGAAACAGAAGGCCCCCUUCCACCUCACACCCUUGGCUGAAGGGCACAAAAGGCCCCUGGUCUUGAGGUAGGACUAACUCUGGAGGGCAAUUUGCCCUCCAGAGCUUCCCUGGGACGGGGUGGGGUGGUGAAGCCGGCCUCCAGCUGAGACCACAACCUUGCUGAGCUUCUUGUCUCCUGCCCCCCUCACUCUUCUGAGAAUGACCCUAAUUAAGUCAUUUGAACCACGGCCUUCUCAGGGUCAGCUUCUAAGGAACCUGAUACAGAAUAGUCCCAUAAAACCAACACGAUGGUGAACUUUAUAGUCUGCAAAUUCUAUCUCAGUAAGGCUGUUGUAUUUUUUUUAAAGUACUUAGUAGUUAUUUACAGUAACUACAUUUUUUUAAGUUCUACCUCAUCAGGGUAUACGUUCCUGGGAACCCCUGGUCAGGUCAAACAUCUUACGUUGAACAUCUAAGUAUUGCUGAUUUCAAGGGGAAAUGUACUUGUUCUUGAGCUCCCAAAUUAAUAGGUAAUUGAAUUCUUUUGAAAACACUAAAUUCCACUGAAAUGGCCUCCAAUAUAGUGAAUUGAGAGUAAACAUGGGCUACCCUGCAACAGGUCAAGGCAGCUACCCUUCAUUGAUAAGGGUGAUGAUUUGCAGAUUCUUUUGUCUUUUUGCUCAGUACACACUUCAGAGCCACAAAGCACAUACAUUUACUCAAUGUUUAUGUCAUUCAGCCUUUACUGUAAAAAAGGAAACAAUAAAAACAAAA